rnacentral:misc_RNA from 1 species
UCGUACAAUGGGGGUACGAAGGCUGUCGCUGACUUUUGUCGUGCACGCCCGAGUGCUCUCACAUACAAAUAUCCGUCUCACCCCUUUGUGCAUCACCGCGUGGGUCCCCUUCCUCGGAGGGGGUGCUCACGUUUUUAACAUUAAACAUCCAUUCGAACGUAAUGUAGAAUGUUAUUUGCGCGAUCACGCGCGAUCAAUA